GUUGGAGAAUUCCAAAGGGAUCGCAUUGUUCCAUGUCAUUUCUCUCUCUUUCUAGAGUCUUCUUGGAUUAUGCUAUCCCUUUAGAAUUUCCCAG
rnacentral:pre_miRNA from 1 species